GAUCCGGAGCAGCUAACAAACUGCCUAAAGUAAGGACAAACUCUCAGCUGCCUCCCGCUGGAAGCAGCAUUGCCUUGUGCUCUAGGAGGAACAGACCAGACAGUAAUUGCUCUUUGGGUAACAGCUCUGGCGGGAUGCACAAAGCUGCAGCAACUCUUACAGGUUUGGGGAAUUAAAGAACAAUUAAGCACAUGGGUCCUCAUUUAGGCACGGCAGGGGUAGGCUCUUACACCGCUAUGCCAGCUGAUGAUGGAAGAGUAAGAUCUUUGCAGCUGUGGUGUUCUGUGUGUAAAACGUAUUGUCACAAAACUGAUUUAUCUUGGCCUUAAUUAUUUUCAAUCGUUUUGCCCCUUACUCAGAUGAUCUGCACAGCAUCCCACUUUGAGGCACGCUCUCGAUGGUCAGUGCAGCUUCAGCCCGUUUGCUGACAGCUCUGCAGCCUGCUCCUGGACCAGCAGCUCCUGUGCUGGCUGGUGUGUUAAGGUCGCUGGAAAGCUGUGCUGUGUUGUACUUGGUGUACACGAACAUCCUUCUGGUGAUUGAUGGCUACACCCUACGGAAAUGUUUUAAUUCUGUCCUUGAAGCGUGCCUUCAGGAACACUGUCAGUACGUAUUCUUCGUCGAGCAGCACACAGCACUUGGGAAUCCGCAGCAGCCCGAGGUCCCUGGCUUCUGCCCAUGGGCAUUCAAUAACCUCUCCUCUGGGCUUUGAAUUCAGUCCCCAAGCCUUCAACCAAGGGACUUAUCUACCUCUGAUUUACUAGAAGGGGCUACUUUAAAAGGCAUACUUAGGACACGAAGAUUCCCACAAAAAAGCAGCAUCAGCUGGUAAAUCACAAACCCAACUAUCAGAUCCCAAGAAAUAAUGUGUGUCCUCCUCAGUCAGGUUGCUCACAAUUACUCCAAGCCACAGCCACGUCCAGCAUCUUGCCUUCACUUUGAUGUUGUUUGCUGCAGUAAUCUGUCCAGAAUCCAGUCAAUCUGAACAGAUGUAUAGGAAAAUAGCAAAGGCUACUGUCCUUUAUCGUUUAUGUUUCACUUUGCACAAUUAUCAAGGAAAAUACUUGAAUACUAAAAAACUUUUGCAGAACUUGGCUUCAGGAGGGCAGAAUUCCACCCUUUUAUGUAUUGUUCCCGUUUGCAAUAACUCCUCUUUAAACCAUAUUCCUGAGCUAUCUGAAGCCUCUGGCCAGAACCUGCAGUUGAGAGGCACAGUUAAAAUGCUUCGAGCUGGCUGAUAUUACAAGACUAGACCCUACUUUAAAGACGUUUAAUGUUACCACACGGCAGCCAAGCCCUCCAACAUGGCAGGUUUGCAAGCCAGCAAGUCACCUGCAGCUUCUCAUGUCAUCUGCUCCAGUGACACCAGCGAGAUAAACUGGAAAAUAGGAACAAAGCACUGGAAAUAUUCCAAAGCUGCCGUAUCCCAGAGGUUAUUUAACUUGGACUUCACACUCCUAAGAUUUCCAUGAAAUAGACUGAGAACUGAAACAGUAGCCGGUAUUAAGCACAGAAUCAGUAAUUUAACUGUUACUCCACAUUUUUUUUACAAUCCUCACUGGAUGUAAACCAGCUUUUUGUCCUGGUGAUACAACGUUGCUACCUGAAAAAUGGCAUUCUCAAGGGGGGGAAAUCGGUAUAGAAAAUCCUGUGGUGAAUGAAAAAACAACUUGGCAGAAAAAAAAGGAUAAUUUUGAAAAGCUUAUUAAUGGGUAGGGUUUUUUGUUUGUUUGUUUUUCUGUACUUCAUAACAAUUUCUGCACUGGAUACCAUUACCUUUGGAUUCUGUGGGUUUUCCAGGAAAAUGAUUCACUGAAAGUUGUGUGUGCUUUCAACAAGGAAAAUCAAGAGCCAAACUCCACUUGUCAUUUACCAGUAUUUGUUAUUCAUUUUUGAUGGUUUCAGAUUCAUGGUUUCUACUCCCUCUGAAAGUAAUUAGAACAGUUAUUUAUAAGUAAUAGGAAAAUAAAUUUGUAAAAUCCUUUAUCAGUAUAUUUCAAUGUUAAAAACAACAAUAAAGAAUUAACUCCUCCUCCAAUAAAA